rnacentral:rRNA from 1 species
CAAUAGCGUAUAUUAAAGUUGUUGCAGUUAAAAAGCUCGUAGUUGGAUUUGUGGCGUACGGUGUGUUCCGGGCACUUGUUGUCUGAGUAACCUGCUGUUGCCAUCCUUGGGUGGAACCUGUGUGGCAUUAGGUUGUCGUGCAGGGGAUGCCCAUCAUUUACUGUGAAAAAAUUAGAGUGUUCAAAGCAGGCUUAUGCCGUUGAAUAUAUUAGCAUGGAAUAAUGGGAUAGGACUUUCUUGCUAUUUUGUUGGUUUGCGCAAAGAGGUAAUGAUUAAUAGGGACAGUUGGGGGUAUUCGUAUUCCAUUGUCAGAGGUGAAAUUCUUGGAUUUUUGGAAGACGAACUACUGCGAAAGCAUUUACCAAGGAUGUUUUCAUUAA